GUGGUGGUCUCCAGCCAAGUUCUGAGUACAAAAAGCUAACUCUCUCAUUCAUUUAUUUACAGGAAAUCAGAUGCCAAUAAACCCACACCUAAGUGUUUAAUUCAAAUCACACCCAAAAUACUACGGUUAUAAAACAAGAAGAUUCUUACAGAAUUUCAAUUUAUUUUAUAAAACUAGAGAAGCCUCCUCCUGAAGUUUCUGGUAGUUGAUUGAUAAGUACGUACGAGAAGACCGACACCAAUCCCAAUACCAACACAUGCACCAAGUCCAAU
rfam:Brassica rapa chromosome A6, whole genome shotgun sequence.